AAAGUCAGCGACAGCCCUUGCACGCCUCUAACACAUUUGUUGUUACGAUAAUGAUCCUUUCCGUAGGGUGACCUGCGGAAGGAUCAUUAUCGUAACAAAAAAUGUGUCAGAGGCGUGCAAGGGCUGUCGCUGACUUUUAACGCAAAAGUCGUGCACGCUGGAGUGCGUCCUCUACACAUAAAAUCCAUCUCACCCUUUUGUGCACCACCGCGUGGGCACCCUUCGGGAUCAAACCGAUCCAGGAAGGGGGCUUGCGUUUUCACACAAACCCCUUUUUAAAAGUGUAGAAUGACCCCAUUUUUUGCGAUAACACGCAAUCAAUACAACUUUCAACAACGGAUCUCUUGGCUCUCGCAUCGAUGAAGAACGCAGCGAAAUGCGAUACGUAAUGUGAAUUGCAGAAUUCAGUGAAUCAUCGAAUCUUUGAACGCACCUUGCGCCCCUUGGUAUUCCGAGGGGCACACCCGUUUGAGUGUCGUGAAAAUCUCAACCUUCUCGGUUUCUUCUGGAAACCAAAGGAGGCUUGGACUUUGGAGGCCUUUGCUGGUGUCUCUCUCUUUUGAGAGCCCAGCUCCUCUUAAAUGAAUUAGCGGGGUCCUCUUUGCUGGUCCUCGACAUGUGAUAAGAUGCUUCCAUGUCUUGGUUUCUGGCUCUGUUGCUUUUGGGACCCGCUUCUAACCGUCUCGACGAGACAACGUUUGAGCACGUCUCCCGACGCUCUCAACCUCACGAACCCUUGACCUCAAAUCGGGUGAGACUACCCGCUGAACUUAAGCAUAUCAUAGCG
rnacentral:rRNA from 1 species